rnacentral:rRNA from 1 species
CGGCGAGUGAAGCGGCAACAGCUCAAAUUUGAAAUCUGGCGCAAGCCCGAGUUGUAAUUUGUAGAGGAUGUUUCUGGCGACGUGCCUUCCGAGUUCCCUGGAACGGGACGCCAUAGAGGGUGAGAGCCCCGUACGGUUGGAUGCCUAGCCUCUGUGAAACUCCUUCGACGAGUCGAGUAGUUUGGGAAUGCUGCUCUAAAUGGGAGGUAUACGUCUUCUAAAGCUAAAUACCGGCCAGAGACCGAUAGCGCACAAGUAGAGUGAUCGAAAGAUGAAAAGCACUUUGAAAAGAGGGUUAAAAAGUACGUGAAAUUGUUGAAAGGGAAGCGUUCAUGACCAGACUUGGGCAGGUUGAUCAUCCGUGGUUCUCCGCGGUGCACUCUGCCUGCCCAGGCCAGCAUCAGUUCGCCCCGGGGGAUAAAGGUUUUGGGAAUGUGGCUCCCUCGGGAGUGUUAUAGCCCACUGCGUAAUACCCUGGGGUGGACUGAGGUUCGCGCUCUGCAAGGAUGCUGGCGUAAUGGUCAUCAACGACCCGUCUUGAAACACGGACCAAGGAGUCGUCUUCGUAUGCGAGUGUUCGGGUGUCAAACCCCUACGCGUAAUGAAAGUGAACGUAGGAGAGAGCUUCGGCGCAUCUCCGACCGAUCCUGAUGUUCUCGGAUGGAUUUGAGUAAGAGCAUACGGGGCCGGACCCGAAAGAAGGUGAACUAUGCCUGUAUAGGGUGAAGCCAGAGGAAACUCUGGUGGAGGCUCGCAGCGGUUCUGACGUGCAAAUCGAUCGUCAAAUAUGGGCAUGGGGGCGAAAGACUAAUCGAACCUU